rnacentral:rRNA from 1 species
UACGAAGGGGGGCUAGCGUUGCUCGGAAUUACUGGGCGUAAAGGGCGCGUAGGCGGACAGUUUAGUCAGAGGUGAAAGCCCAGGGCUCAACCCUGGAAUUGCCUUUGAUACUGGCUGUCUUGAGUUCGGGAGAGGUGAGUGGAAUGCCGAGUGUAGAGGUGAAAUUCGUAGAUAUUCGGCGGAACACCAGUGGCGAAGGCGACUCACUGGCCCGAUACUGACGCUGAGGCGCGAAAAGCGUGGGGGAGCAAACAGG